UACGUAGGGGGCGAGCGUUGUCCGGAUUUAUUGGGCGUAAAGAGCUCGUAGGCGGUUCGAUAAGUCGGAUGUGAAGUCUCCACGCUCAACGUGGAGGGGCCAUUCGAUACCGUCGUGACUCGAGUCCGGUAGGGGAGUGUGGAAUUCCUGGUGUAGCGGUGAAAUGCGCAGAUAUCAGGAAGAACACCGGUGGCGAAGGCGGCUCUCUGGGCCUUACCUGACGCUGAGGAGCGAAAGCGUGGGUAGCGAACAGG
rnacentral:rRNA from 1 species